rnacentral:tRNA from 6 species
AGCUACGUAGCUCAGGGGUUAGAGCACAUUACUCAUAAUGAUGGGGUCACAGGUUCAAAUCCUGUCGUAGCUA